AUUGAACGCUGGCGGCCGGCCUAACACAUGCAAGUCGAACGGAGCGGCGGACGGGUAAGUCCUGCCUAGGAAUCUGCAUGGUAGUGGGGGAUUACGUCCGGAACCGGGCGCUACUACCGCAUACUACAAGAUGCGCAUAGGUCGGAUUAGCUAGUUGGGGGGGAAAAGGCCUACCAAGGCGACGAGCCGUAACUGGUCUGAGAGGAUGAUCAGUCACACUGGAACUGAGACACGGUCCAGAAUCCUACGGGAGGCAGCGUUGGGGAAGAUUGGACAAUGGGCGAAAGCCUGAUCCAGCCAUGCCGCGUGUAUGAAGAAGGCCUUCGGAUUGUAAAGCACUUUAAGUUGGGAGGCGUUAUCAACAGAAUAAGCACCGGCUAACUUCGUGCCAGCAGCCGCGGUAAUAC
rnacentral:rRNA from 1 species